UAUCUCCUAUUCAAACCUGAGCGGUAAGUAAAAUUCCAGCAAUAAUAUGCUUUGUUUACCAAGUUAUUAAAAUAUUGUGUAGGGGAUGACUUUCAUAUAUUAAAUUGGCCCUUGCAUAGUUAAAACUGGAUAUUAAGUUCAUGGAAUAAGGCUCAAUUUCGUCCCUGUACUUAUUGGGAAUGUCCAAUUUAGUCAUUUUUAACUUUUUAUCUAAUUUAGGUUAAAAGUUUCAAUUUAUGUUUAAUUUAGCCCAAAAUUAAUGAAUAUGUGACUCACUUACCGCUUGGUGCUUGAGUUGCUUUUUUUAUUUUUAAAAUUUUUUAAUGUUAAUUACUUAGUUAAUUUUUUUUAAUAUUAAUUAAAUAAUUAUACAACUCAACUCAACUUAAGUAAGCCUUUAUCCCAAAAAUUUG
rnacentral:misc_RNA from 1 species